ensembl:lncRNA
UUUUAAUGAAUUUUAUUAGCAAAUUAUGGUGGAAAAUAAGUAUUUGGUCAAUAACAAAAGUUUAUCUCAAUACUUUGUUAUAUACCCAUUGUUGGCAAUGACAGAGGUCAAACGUUUUCUGUAAGUCUUCACAAGGUUUUCACACACUGUUGCUGCCUCUCUCAUCUUUUUAAGUGGGAGAACUUGCACAAUUGGUGGCUGACUAAAUACUUUUUUUUGCCCCACUGUAAAUGUAGUCAGUUACGGUGCCAAGAGAAACAAACAGUGUUGAUGGAUUAAAUAUUAGCUUUUUAUUUGCUGAAAAAACAACGAUAACAAGAGAUCAAUGGUUAACACUGUUUCAACUAGAGAAAGACCAGACUGGAGCUCGAAACAGACAAUCUUUACAGGAAAUAACCUACAGAGAAUAACAGGAGAACAGUGUUAUGGCAAGGUGGAGAUGGAAGGGCUGUGUAGAGCUUGACUAGGGAGGAGUUGAGGAAUCAACACUCUCAUAAGGAAAGAAUCUAACUUGGCAUCAAAGUCACUGGGGGUAUUGAAGGCACUGGGGGUCAUUGGAGAAGAGAAAGGGAGAAGGGAUGGGAGAUAUAGGAGAAGGAAUGGGAGGGGGGGGGUAUAGGAGAAGGGAUGGGAGAUAUAGGAGAAGGGAUGGGAGAGGGGGGAUAUAGGAGAAGGGAUGGGAGAUAUAGGAGAAGGGAUGGGAGAGGGGGGAUAUAGGAGAAGGGAUGGGAGGGGCCACUGUGCUAUAGGGCUAAAGGUGAUAACAGAUUAACAAGACAUUCACUCACAUUUCUCCUGUUUCCUCUCAUUGUGCAACACAGUCAUUUCUUUUUUUACAACAGUCAAAUAACAUCAACAUAUACAUUUAUAUAAAACAAAUUCAUGAAUGUUAAUGUAUAAUGUUAAAAACAGUCCUUUAUAUCACUUGGUGUCUCUUCAGUUCCUUACCUGUGGUCCUACUGAGGUUGCCAGGACAACAGCACCACCAUGUGGUGAAAAGAACAACCAGCAGCGUGUGAUGUGUGGCAGUGUUUCUCAGUAAGGAUCCUGGGGACCCACUGUGUUUAGGCUGGCUCAGCAUCAAUUAAACACUAAUUAGUACAUGGACAACUGCAUGACGGGUCUGCAGUUUGUGCUACUGAAAGGGGCCUUGGAGCCCAGCACGGCUCAACAAAAAAUUCAGCCAAACAGUGCUGGUGUGGUUCGCUACAUUCCCUUUAUCUCAAAAACAUAAAACACAAAAAAACCACUGAACCAAUUAACAAAUAGUCAUUAAUAAUCAUAUUCAUGAGCGGAAUAAAAACAAUAACAAACUCAGUUCUACCAAGCUGUUUUUCUAGCUGAGGCAAGCCCGAAGAAGUCGCAGCCUGAUGAUGUCACUGAAUGUCUACUACAUCCCAGGAGCAGAAUGGUUUCUC